rnacentral:rRNA from 1 species
CGCGGCCUAUCAGCUUGUUGGUGGGGUGAAGGCCUACCAAGGCGACGACGGGUAGCCGGCCUGAGAGGGCGACCGGCCACACUGGGACUGAGACACGGCCCAGACUCCUACGGGAGGCAGCAGUGGGGAAUAUUGCGCAAUGGGCGGAAGCCUGACGCAGCGACGCCGCGUGAGGGAUGAAGGCCUUCGGGUUGUAAACCUCUUUCAGUAGGGAAGAAGCGAAAGUGACGGUACCUGCAGAAGAAGCGCCGGCUAACUACGUGCCAGCAGCCGCGGUAAUACGUAGGGCGCAAGCGUUAUCCGGAAUUAUUGGGCGUAAAGAGCUCGUAGGCGGUUUGUCGCGUCUGCCGUGAAAGUCCGGGGCUCAACUCCGGAUCUGCGGUGGGUACGGGCAGACUAGAGUGAUGUAGGGGAGACUGGAAUUCCUGGUGUAGCGGUGAAAUGCGCAGAUAUCAGGAGGAACACCGAUGGCGAAGGCAGGUCUCUGGGCAUUAACUGACGCUGAGGAGCGAAAGCAUGGGGAGCGAACAGGAUUAGAUACCCUGGUAGUCCAUGCCGUAAACGUUGGGCACUAGGUGUGGGGGACAUUCCACGUUUUCCGCGCCGUAGCUAACGCAUUAAGUGCCCCGCCUGGGGAGUACGG